AUUGAACGCUAGCGGCAGGCUUAAUACAUGCAAGUCGAGGGGCAGCAUGAUUGUAGCAAUACAAUUGAUGGCGACCGGCAAACGGGUGCGGAACACGUACACAACCUCCCAAUAAGUGGGGAAUAGCCCAGAGAAAUUUGGAUUAAUACCCCGUAACAUAACGAUGUGGCAUCACAUUGUUAUUAUAGAUUUUUCGCUUAUUGAUGGGUGUGCGGCUGAUUAGAUAGUUGGCGGGGUAACGGCCCACCAAGUCUACGAUCAGUAGCUGAUGUGAGAGCAUGAUCAGCCACACGGGAACUGGGACACGGGCCCGACUCCUACGGGAGGCAGCAGUAAGGAAUAUUGGACAAUGGACGCAAGUCUGAUCCAGCCAUGCCGCGUGAAGGAUUAAGGUCCUCUGGAUUGUAAACUUCUUUUAUAAGGGACGAAAAAAGGCUUUUCUAAGUCGUCUGACGGUACCUUAUGAAUAAGCACCGGCUAACUCCGUGCCAGCAGCCGCCGUAAUAC
rnacentral:rRNA from 1 species